AUUGAACGCUGGCGGCAGGCCUAACACAUGCAAGUCGAACGAGUGGCGGACGGGUGAGUAAUGUCUGGGAAACUGCCUGAUGGAGGGGGAUAACUACUGGAAACGGUAGCUAAUACCGCAUACGAUCAGUUGUGCCCAGAUGGGAUUAGCUAGUUGGUGGGGUAACGGCUCACCAAGGCGACGAUGCCUAGCUGGUCUGAGAGGGUGACCAGCCACACUGGAACUGAGACACGGUCCAGACUCCUACGGGAGGCAGCAGUGGGGAAUAUUGCACAAUGGGCGAAAGCCUGAUACAGCAAUGCCGCGUGUGUGAAGAAGGCCUUCGGAUUGUAAAGUACUUUCAGCGGGGAGGCGUUACCCGCAGAAGAAGCACCGGCUAACUCCGUGCCAGCAGCCGCGGUAAUUC
rnacentral:rRNA from 1 species